AUUUGACACUGUAUUAAGACUUCUGAUAUACAUUAUUCUAUUGACAGAGCAAACAGCAAGUGUACUAAUACAGUUCAGCCCACAAAUUAGUUGGCCAAGAUACACACAUACUUACAUAACUGUUCUUUGCAUUAUCAUAAAACUGACAUUCCCAUAACAAUUUUGUUAUUAGUAAAAAUAACCUCAGAUUCUAUGUUUCAGAGUAAGCAAGCUGCAGGGGGAAAAAGAACUUCAAAAAUGUUGUAUGAGGGAAGAAGAAAGGAAAAAUAACACAAUCUGUGCAAGAACUACAGUUUUAAAAGGUGCAUAGGAGAUGAAGAUGAUCUUACGAGGGGAAGAUAAGUAUGUAUAUGCAGUUGAAUUGGGAUUAGGACAAUAAGAAGAAACCUGUGCAAGUUUUUCUCUUUUGAAAUUGGGUGUCAAACACUUGGAGCUUUCAAUCUUUGUGGACAAGAAGCACCGCAUGCACAUCUGCUGAAGUGCACGGCUCCAUCUGUUAGCAGACUUGGCAGAGGGGUCACAAGUUGGAAGUCCAGAAGGAUUUGGUGAUCAUCUCCCUUUUGUGAAGGCAGUCCAGUCCAGUCAGGUGAUGUUUGAGUUAUCCGAAAUUGCUUUAUCUAUUGAAUUUUAAUGUUUUGAUUAAUGUGUACAAAAUUAUUUUUGUUGCCGGGUAAGAGCUGAAUAACAGAGAUAAAUUAUUUGUUACAGGGAAGAUUACAUUUCUUGAUGAAAUAUCUUGAACUAUGAAAGGAAGUUAAGAAAUAGAUAUUUUCAAGGAGGGGUAGAGAUUCUAUUUUUUUUUACUCCAUAUUCUUGCAUACAUUGAUUU
ensembl:lncRNA